UACGGAGGGUGCAAGCGUUAUCCGGAUUCACUGGGUUUAAAGGGUGUGUAGGCGGAUAUUUAAGUCAGUGGUGAAAUCUCAAGGCUCAACCUUGAAACUGCCAUUGAUACUAUUUAUCUUGAAUAUCGUUGAGGUAGGCGGAAUAUAUCAUGUAGCGGUGAAAUUCGUAGAUAUUCGGAGGAACACCAGUGGCGAAGGCGGCUCACUGGUCCAUUACUGACGCUGAGGUGCGAAAGCGUGGGGAGCAAACAGG
rnacentral:rRNA from 1 species